rnacentral:rRNA from 1 species
GACGAACGCUGGCGGCGUGCUUAACACAUGCAAGUCGAACGGAAAGGCCCUGCUUUUGUGGGGUGCUCGAGUGGCGAACGGGUGAGUAACACGUGAGUAACCUGCCCUUGACUUUGGGAUAACUUCAGGAAACUGGGGCUAAUACCCGAUAUGAUCUCCUGCUGCAUGUUGUGGGUUGGAAAGUUUCGGCGGUUGGGGAUGGACUCGCGGCUUAUCAGCUUGUUGGUGUGGUAGUGGCUUACCAAGGCUUUGACGGGUAGCCGGCCUGAGAGGGUUACCGGCCACAUGGGGACUGAGAGACGGCGCAGACGCCUACGGGAGGCAGAAGGGGGGAAUAUGGCACAAUGGGGGGAAGCCUGAGGCAGAAACGCCGGGUGCGGGAUGACGGCCUUCGGGUUGUAAACCGCUUUCGCCUGUGACGAAGAGUGAGUGACGGUAAUGGGUAAAGAAGCACCGGCUAACUACGUG